UACAGAGGUCCCAAGCGUUGUUCGGAUUCACUGGGCGUAAAGGGUGCGUAGGCGGUCGGGUAAGUCUGAUGUGAAAUCUCACAGCUUAACUGUGAAACUGCAUUGGAUACUAUCCGGCUCGAGGAAUGGAGGGGAGACUGGAAUACUUGGUGUAGCAGUGAAAUGCGUAGAUAUCAAGUGGAACACCAGUGGCGAAGGCGAGUCUCUGGACAUUUCCUGACGUGAGGCACGAAAGCCAGGGGAGCAAAACGGG
rnacentral:rRNA from 1 species